rnacentral:piRNA from 1 species
UCGUGCAUUGCAAAUUUUUCA